rnacentral:rRNA from 1 species
GACGAACGCUGGCGGCGUGCUUAACACAUGCAAGUCGAACGGAAAGGCCCUGCUUUUGUGGGGUGCUCGAGUGGCGAACGGGUGAGUAACACGUGAGUAACCUGCCCUUGACUUUGGGAUAACUUCAGGAAACUGGGGCUAAUACCGGAUAGGAGCUCCUGCUGCAUGGUGGGGGUUGGAAAGUUUCGGCGGUUGGGGAUGGACUCGCGGCUUAUCAGCUUGUUGGUGGGGUAGUGGCUUACCAAGGCUUUGACGGGUAGCCGGCCUGAGAGGGUGACCGGCCACAUCGGGACUGAGAUACGGCCCAGACUCCUACGGGAGGCAGCAGUGGGGAAUAUUGCACAAUGGGCGGAAGCCUGAUGCAGCAACGCCGCGUGCGGGAUGACGGCCUUCGGGUUGUAAACCGCUUUCGCCUGUGACGAAGCGUGAGUGACGGUAAUGGGUAAAGAAGCACCGGCUAACUACGUGCCAGCAGCCGCGGUGAUACGUAGGGUGCGAGCGUUGUCCGGAUUUAUUGGGCGUAAAGGGCUCGUAGGUGGUUGAUCGCGUCGGAAGUGUAAUCUUGGGGCUUAACCCUGAGCGUGCUUUCGAUACGGGUUGACUUGAGGAAGGUAGGGGAGAAUGGAAUUCCUGGUGGAGCGGUGGAAUGCGCAGAUAUCAGGAGGAACACCAGUGGCGAAGGCGGUUCUCUGGGCCUUUCCUGACGCUGAGGAGCGAAAGCGUGGGGAGCGAACAGGCUUAGAUACCCUGGUAGUCCACGCUGUAAACGGUGGGUACUAGGUGUGGGGUCCAUUCCACGGGUUCCGUGCCGUAGCUAACGCUUUAAGUACCCCGCCUGGGGAGUACGGCCGCAAGGCUAAAACUCAAAGGAAUUGACGGGGCCCCGCACAAGCGGCGGAGCAUGCGGAUUAAUUCGAUGCAACGCGUAGAACCUUACCUGGGUUUGACAUGGAUCGGGAGUGCUCAGAGAUGGGUGUGCCUCUUUUGGGGUCGGUUCACAGGUGGUGCAUGGCUGUCGUCAGCUCGUGUCGUGAGAUGUUGGGUUAAGUCCCGCAACGAGCGCAACCCUUGUUCACUGUUGCCAGCACGUUAUGGUGGGGACUCAGUGGAGACCGCCGGGGUCAACUCGGAGGAAGGUGGGGAUGACGUCAAGUCAUCAUGCCCCUUAUGUCCAGGGCUUCACGCAUGCUACAAUGGCUGGUACAGAGAGUGGCGAGCCUGUGAGGGUGAGCGAAUCUCGGAAAGUCGGUCUCAGUUCGGAUUGGGGUCUGCAACUCGACCUCAUGAAGUCGGAGUCGCUAGUAAUCGCAGAUCAGCAACGCUGCGGUGAAUACGUUCCCGGG